CCCGGUCUGUGGAGAUGCUGAAGGA
rnacentral:piRNA from 1 species